AACAAGGCGUACCUGCGGACCUGCGGAAGGAUCAUUACUGAAUAAAGCGUGGUCAGGGGGUUGUCGCUGGCAUCCCUGUGAUGCAUGUGCACACCUCUGCCACUCUGUCAUUCAUUCACCUUCCCACCUGUGCAUUCUCUUGUAGCCCAGAUUGCCACUUUUCGCUGGUGUUCUCUUGAACACUGUUUGUGUCUUGGGAUUUGCUGUUGCAAGUCACAGCUCCUCCCGUUUGCAUUCUGG
rnacentral:misc_RNA from 1 species